GACGAACGCUGGCGGCGUGCUUAACACAUGCAAGUCGAACGGAAAGGCCCUGCUUUUGUGGGGUGCUCGAGUGGCGAACGGGUGAGUAACACGUGAGUAACCUGCCCUUGACUUUGGGAUAACUUCAGGAGACUGGGGCUAAUACCGGGUAGGAGCUCCUGCUGCAUGGUGGGGGUUGGAAAGUUUCGGCGGUUGGGGAUGGACUCGCGGCUUAUCAGCUUGUUGGUGGGGUAGUGGCUUACCAAGGCUUUGACGGGUAGCCGGCCUGAGAGGGUGACCGGCCACAUUGGGACUGAGAUACGGCCCAGACUCCUACGGGAGGCAGCAGUGGGGAAUAUUGCACAAUGGGCGGAAGCCUGAUGCAGCAACGCCGCGUGCGGGAUGACGGCCUUCGGGUUGUAAACCGCUUUCGCCUGUGACGAAGCGUGAGUGACGGUAAUGGGUAAAGAAGCACCGGCUAACUACGUG
rnacentral:rRNA from 1 species